AAAUUGAAGAGUUUGAUCAUGGCUCAGAUUGAACGCUGGCGGCAGGCCUAACACAUGCAAGUCGAACGGUAACAGGAAUCAGCUUGCUGAUUCGCUGACGAGUGGCGGACGGGUGAGUAAUGUCUGGGAAACUGCCUGAUGGAGGGGGAUAACUACUGGAAACGGUAGCU
rnacentral:rRNA from 1 species